UGUCUUGAAAUUGGAAUUAUGCUUCUUAAUCGGCUACUUCCUCCACGCUUGUGCAAAUAAUCCCUAAAUUGUCCAACGCGCUGCUUUUGCUGUGCUUUUAGAGUUUCUAAACCGCGCCGUGCCGAUUUGAUCUGCAACGUGCAGCUCGUGAACGCACCCCCAGCCUGCUCUCACGCGGUUCAUUUGAUUGGCUAAACGGUCCAAAGCGUCGUCGGGCAAAAUGGGAGACGAAUGGUGGCAGCAUGACUGUAAAUCAGACAACGUUUCGGCUCCUUGAGCCUUCCUCAGGUUAACUGGCACACAGUCACAGCACAGCAGGUUUGUGAUGUUCGCACUCCGGUGAACCAACUCUAACUGAGCCCAAGUAAGUGCACCUUUUUGUCUUUUUUCUCUCCCUAUAUAACCUCUGCUGUCCUUGUAUUUGCUUUUCUUUUUAACACACUACCAUUUUGUGUUUCAAUUUAGAAAUUAACCCCAUACUAGCCAAAUGUUUUGUAAUGUCCCUAUAAAUCCCUGUAUAUUCCACCCAAUGAUGUCCCAAUUUGAUAUAACAUUGUUUUUAUUAUUAUAACACUUAAUUAUUAAUUAUGUUUAAUAGUAUUUAUAUUUUUUUCAUCUAUUUUUUUAUUUGUUUUUUAGUUUUUUUGUAUUUUUUAAUUUUUUUGGAUUUUAAUGCCUUUUAACUCAUAGGAACUAUUGUUUAACUGUUCUUAACUCUUUUGACGCUCAUUAAUCCUUUUUAAUAGCUUUUAAAUGACUUUUUAAUAACUUUUUAACUUUUUAAUAACUUAAAUAACUAUUUAAUAACCCUUUUAACCAUUAGGGUUAGGGUUAGGGUUAGGUGAGGGGAACCGAACCCUCCCUCUCCCAGUAUAGGGGAAAUAAUUCCCCUUCCGGGAUCGGGGGGGGAGAUGCACGGUCCAUCCCCCUACGCCAUCUCCCGUCUCCAUUUCCCCAUUCCUGGCGGCGUGCCGGCUGGCCCCGCCGGUCAUAGUGGGCCACUUUCCACUCUCCACCAGUCAUCUUUGUUUUCAUUUUCUUUUUUGUAUUUCCAAAUGAAUUGUCUAGAGUCUCCUUUGUUAUUUAUGUAAUAUUUUUUUCUUUUAGAUGUGCUAUUUAUUAAUAGUUAUGAAUUUGUAAUAUAUUUCUAAUGAUAACAACAAAAACCCACAAAAAAAUCCCCCCAAACUUUUUUUGUCGACCAAACGGUGUGCCUCGACAACGUUUCGGCUCUAAGGAGCCUUCCUCAGGUCCUGGCACACCAAAUUCAAAAAAUACAAUGCACAAUUAGGCGAUGUUUACUGUCCAAACAUCGAAACCAAACUGAGUCAGUAAAAACGUUCUUCCCUUUUAUACACACUGUUUUUUGUCCUAUGUUUAAAAAGAUCUUUUCAAAGAAUAAUAUGUGCAAAGUGCUUGUGUGCGUUGUGCCACAUGUGAUUGUGUGUGCAUCCAGGGGUUGGUGCGUCCCAGUAGUCAAAGCAGCAUAAAGCUUAAGAUCAUGCCCAAGGUGAAGAGGGAGAAGGAAAAGCUCCACAAGCAGAAGUCAAACCGCUCGCUCGCUCUCAGGUUGGAACAGCCGAUAAAACACACCCAAAGUCAUCUAGCAGACAAAUUGGAAUUUGGACUGUUUUGAGCAGGUUACUUUGCUUCCCUCUAGUGGCCUGGUGAGGUAAAAUUUGCAGCUGCAUGGCCAGCUACUUGAAGCCGCUUUCACACAGCAUUCCUUUUCCCCCCCUUUCCAUAUUGUCCACCAAUUUAUUCUCCUUUCCUUUUUGAGAGCCUCACCCACCGAAAUAGCCUUUGUCCCGAGAACAUGCGUGCUUGCACACUGCCGAUGUAGGUUGCGACAUUAACAUAAUUAGAUGUCAGCGUGCCAGCUCCGAUUGUUUACAACACAAAGUAGCAUGCGUAGUGAUUUUUAAAAAAAUGAAUACCUCUCUGACAUUUUCAAUCCAAAAAGUAUUUUAUACAUGAUAAUUGGUCCUAAAGUUGUGGCCAGUUGUUAAAGAUGUACUGUUUUCAGAAGAACCUUUGAAAAUCAUUUUUGUGCGCACGUGUAUAUAGAGUACAUAUUGUGGGCAUCGGGCCAAAUUUGCUCCGUCUAUCCAUCCAUUUUCAACACCGCUUAUCCCGCUAAAGGUCGCGGGGCGCUGCGCCGGAGCCUAUCCCAGCUGAUUUUGGGCUCCAGGCGGACUAAGCCCUCAACUGGUCGCCAGUCAGUCGCAGGGCACAUAUAGACAGGGACAACCAUUCGCACUCACAUUCACACUGUCACUGAGUGGGAAGUGAACCCACGCUGCCCGCACCAAAGUCAGGCGAGUGUACCACGACACCAUCAGUGAUUUACCCAAAUGUGUUCAAUUUCCUAUUUUUUCACCAAUUGAUACUGUUGUUCAGUCCACACGUGGGACUGUUAUUCUUCCAAAUGACUGAGCGUUGUAAAUUGCUUGCUCUUUGACGAUGCAGCGUUAAUAAAGACGUCGUUAUUUUGUUUUCCUGAAAAGUAAUGGUUUUGCACAUGCAAGUAUUCCACCCAACGCCAAUGAUAUCCAACCUAUAGGAUACAGCGUGGUUUUUGUACGAGCGCGCAUUUGGAGUUUGUAAUCGCUUGCGGUCGUGCGGCUUUAGGAACACGGGAUGUCAAGUGUACGACUCCUGAAGCAUAAUCGCCAGGCAACUGAUGAUCUUUUCCGGCCCCUAACCUUGACCGCCGCGAUUGAGGAGAUGCCGUCCUCUUAUCUGCCGGCACCCUGACUGCGGCGUAGGCGGCAAGGAUUAGCUGUUUUGCGUUUCCUUACUGUGCAUUUUUUUUCCCGAAGCGGUGUCACUUGCAUUGCUCCUCCACUGGCCUGCUGUGCUAAUGAAAGAGCCUACAAUUCUGUCAUUUUGUCAUAAACCGUGUCUACAUGUUGCUUGCAUGCAGCAGAGUACAGAACAUCUUUUAGAAACGACACGAUGGAAACCGCCUUCAGACUGAAAUGAGACUUUUGGGGACACCUUGUUUCUACGCCAAGCAACCUUCAAUGGCACCAGAAGCCGAUGUGCAGAAAUCUUGGACGUUGAACAGAAAAGAAAAACAUUGACUGUAUUUGUGUGUUGAGCUGUUAAUAAUACUACUGUUAAUAAUACUGAUAAUGAUGUGCACAUGCAAGGUGCUCAAGUGGUUUUGACUUUGUUUGGCUUGUCGUGACCUCAACUAAAGAGGUCACGGGGGUGGUUCACGAUUAGCUGACUCGAGAUGUAAUGCACCAAUGUGAAUGUUUGCUUUGCCAGUAGUUCCCAAUUGUUCUUAUCGUCUUGCUCUCGUGGGUUUGCUGUCCAAUCCCCCACCACCCCCAGGUCCCCCCAACCAUCCCCCUGUGCGUUCAUAAACACGAUAGGAUCAAUCAAGAAAUUAAGUUGGCCAAAUGGGGAAAUUUGUAGUUUGCAUAAGCAUGUUUAGUCUAAGCUGAUGCUUGCUGUGAGGGGCAUACUAAAUGAUAGCGCGUGCAGGAACAUGCUCGUUUCCGCUCACGGUCGAGCAUUGCCAAGCUCCACUGUCGUCGGGUGCUGUUUCUGCAUCCAGUGUGCGCUGCUGCCUUUUUGCCUUCAUGGCUUUUGUGGUGUUGUGCCAAGUAGAGCGACACACUCCAGUGGUGUGUGCAAUGUGGCGUUCAUUUCAAGUUUACUGUGUCUGGGCUCGCACUUUACAGACUCCUUGAUGGGGGAAAUGUGCGUGUACACGCGUUUACGUCAAAUUAGGUGAAGAAUAUGACUUUUUAUUUGUGAUGAACUAUUAAAUAUAUAAUGUAAAAAUGCACGCCCAUCGAUGUGAUCCAUGGCUGUGGCGUUCCUGCUCCUGCGUCCACUGAUGCGCUGGGCCAACGUGUUACCAUGGUAACCACGUUAGCCAUUUGAAGCUUAAAGCCAAAGCUUAAGUCGACUCGUGAAUCACUUAUUGAAGAAGAUAAAAUGUUUGUGUACAAUGUGUAACUUUUUGAAAUUGUAUCAUCAACUUGUUCUGAACAUAUGAAUGAAAUGUGUAUAUGGGUUUUAAAAAGAAAGCUCAUGUAUAUUUAAUUUGAUCAAUGAUUGUUUGAAUGUAAUUUAAUGGGGUUAACAAUGAUUCCGCAAUGCCGGGUGUUUGCACGAGUGUGUGCGUGUUGCCAGUUGUUCCGUCAUGUAUCAAAGAUAAGCUUUGGAAAUUAAAAUGACUUGAUGGUGUGAUAAA